rnacentral:rRNA from 1 species
GACGAACGCUGGCGGCGUGCCUAAUACAUGCAAGUAGAACGCUGAAGGAGGAGCUUGCUUCUCUGGAUGAGUUGCGAACGGGUGAGUAACGCGUAGGUAACCUGCCUGGUAGCGGGGGAUAACUAUUGGAAACGAUAGCUAAUACCGCAUAAUAUUGACUAUUGCAUGAUAGUCAGUUGAAAGGUGCAACUGCACCACUACCAGAUGGACCUGCGUUGUAUUAGCUAGUUGGUGGGGUAACGGCUCACCAAGGCGACGAUACAUAGCAGACCUGAGAGGGUGAUCGGCCACACUGGGACGGAGACACGGCCCAGACGCCUACGGGAGGCAGCAGUAGGGAAGCUUCGGCAAGGGACGGAAGUCUGACCGAGCAACGCCGCGUGAGUGAAGAAGGUUUUCGGAUCGUAAAGCUCUGUUGUAAGAGAAGAACGAGUGUGAGAGUGGAAAGCUCACACUGUGACGGUAUCUUACCAGAAAGGGACGGCUAACUACGUG